AGUAGUCUAAUGUUGUUCCGGUUUUGGUUCUUGUGAAGGUUGACAAUGAUUCGUUCCAAAUUUACACUCUCGAGGCAUAAUAGAACAAUAUAAUUUGGUUUUACACUUUGUUCGAUUGAAUGAGAAAAAGUUCUCGUUGCAAAGUUAUACUGCAAGGGGGCAACUGAGUAGUCUAAUAUUUUUCCGGUUUUGGUUCUUGUGAAGGUUGACAUCGAUUCGCUCCAAAUUUACACUUUCGGGGCAUAAUUGAACAAUAUAAUUAGCUUUUAUUCUUUGUUCGAUUAAAUGAGAAAAAGUACUCGUUGCAAGGUUAUACUGUUAGGGCGCAACUGAUUAGUCUAAUGUUGUUCCUGUUUUGUUUCUUGUGAAAGUUGACGUCGAUUCGUUCAAAAUUUACACUCUCGGGGCAUAAUAGAACAAUUUAAUUAGCUUUUACUCUUUGUUCGGUUGAAUGAGAAAAAGUACUUGUUGCAAAGUUAUACUGUUAGGGCGCAACUGAGUAGUCUAAUGUUGUUCCGGUUUUGGUUCUUGUGAAAGUUGACAUCGAUUCGUUCCAAAUUUACACUCUCGAGGCAUAAUAGAACAA
rnacentral:lncRNA from 1 species